CUGGCGGCGUGCCUAAUACAUGCAAGUCGAACGGUCUUUCUAUGGAAGCUUGCUUCCACUGAGAAGAUAGUGGCGAACGGGUGAGUAACACGUGGGUAACCUGCCCAUAAGAGGGGGAUAACAUCCGGAAACGGGUGCUAAUACCGCAUAGUUUUCUUGAUCGCAUGAUUGAGAAAGGAAAGACGGCCUUUGUGCUGUCGCUUAUGGAUGGACCCGCGGCGUAUUAGUUAGUUGGUGAGGUAACGGCUCACCAAGACGAUGAUACGUAGCCGACCUGAGAGGGUGAUCGGCCACAUUGGGACUGAGACACGGCCCAAACUCCUACGGGAGGCAGCAGUAGGGAAUCUUCCGCAAUGGACGAAAGUCUGACGGAGCAACGCCGCGUGAGUGAAGAAGGUUUUUUCGGAUCGUAAAACUCUGUUGUCAGAGAAGAACAAGUUGGAGAGUAACUGCUCCAGCCUUGACGGUAUCUGACCAGAAAGCCACGGCUAACUACGUGCCAGCCGCAGC
rnacentral:rRNA from 1 species